GACGAACGCUGGCGGCGUGCUUAACACAUGCAAGUCGAACGGUAAGGCCCUUCGGGGUACACGAGUGGCGAACGGGUGAGUAACACGUGGGUGAUCUGCCCUGCACUUCGGGAUAAGCCUGGGAAACUGGGUCUAAUACCGGAUAGGACCCUGGGAUGCAUGUCCUGGGGUGGAAAGCUUUUGCGGUGUGGGAUGGGCCCGCGGCCUAUCAGCUUGUUGGUGGGGUGAUGGCCUACCAAGGCGACGACGGGUAGCCGGCCUGAGAAGGGGACCGGCCACACUGGGACUGAGAUAAGGCCCAGACUCCUACGGGAGGCAGCAGUGGAGAAUAUUGCACAAUGGGCGCAAGCCUGAUGCAGCGACGCCGCGUGAGGGAUGACGGCCUUCGGGUUGUAAACCUCUUUCAGCACCGACGAAGCGCAAGUGACGGUAGGUGCAGAAGAAGGACCGGCCAACUACGUGCCAGCCGCCGCGGUAA
rnacentral:rRNA from 1 species